rnacentral:tRNA from 1 species
GCGGGCGUAAUUCAGUGGUAGAAUGCAAGCUUCCCAAGCUUGACGUCGGGAGUUCGAACCUCCUCGUCCGCU